rnacentral:rRNA from 1 species
GGUAGUUAAGUCAGAAGUGAAAUCCAAUAGCUCAACUAUUGAACUGCUUUUGAAACUGAUUACCUAGAAUAUGGGAGAGGUAGAUGGAAUUUCUGGUGUAGGGGUAAAAUCCGUAGAGAUCAGAAGGAAUACCGAUUGCGAAGGCGAUCUACUGGAACAUUAUUGACGCUGAGACGCGAAAGCGUGGGGAGCAAACAGGAUUAGAUACCCUGGUAGUCCACGCCCUAAACGAUGUACACUAGUUGUUGUGAGGCUCGACCUUGCAGUAAUGCAGUUAACACAUUAAGUGUACCGCCUGGGGAGUACGGUCGCAAGAUUAAAACUCAAAGGAAUAGACGGGGACCCGCACAAGCGGUGGAGCAUGUGGUUUAAUUCGACGAUACACGAAGAACCUUACCUGGACUUGACAUAGUAAGAACUUUCUAGAGAUAGAUUGGUGUCUGCUUGCAGAAACUUAUAUACAGGUGCUGCACGGCUGUCGUCAGCUCGUGUCGUGAGAUGUUGGGUUAAGUCCCGCAACGAGCGCAACCCUCGUCAUUAGUUGCUAACAGUUCGGCUGAGAACUCUAAUGAGACUGCCUACGCAAGUAGGAGGAAGGUGAGGACGACGUCAAGUCAUCAUGGCCCUUACGUCCAGGGCUACACACGUGCUACAAUGGGGUAUACAAAGAGCCGCAAUACGGUGACGUGGAGCAAAUCUCAAAAAUAUCUCCCAGUUCGGAUUGUAGUCUGCAACUCGACUACAUGAAGUUGGAAUC